UACGAAGGGGGGCUAGCGUUGCUCGGAAUCACUGGGCGUAAAGGGUGCGUAGGCGGGUCUUUUAAGUCAGGGGGUGAAAUCCUGGAGCUCAACUCCCAGAACUGCCUUUGAUACUGAGGAUCUUGAGUUCGGGAGAGGUGAGUGGAACUGCGAGUGUAGAGGUGAAAUUCGUAGAUAUUCGCAAGAACACCAGUGGCGAAGGCGGCUCACUGGCCCGAUACUGACGCUGAGGCACGAAAGCGUGGGGGAGCAAACAGG
rnacentral:rRNA from 1 species